rnacentral:lncRNA from 1 species
AUGGCGGCCGUGCCGCACCCGCCUCCGGCACCGACCCUGCCGCUCCGAGCGGAACGGAGCGGUGACAACGCCGGCCAGGGGUUCUUCGGCCGGCCGGGCACACAGCACAAGCGCCCCGCACCGCACACACUCCUCUUCCCCCGCGCUCCGCUCUGCAGGGAAGCCCCCGGAGCUUUUACGAACCUGGGCUGUGGGUGUCGGUGCAGGCCGAACCGGACGGUUGCGCGGUGCGGCGCGGCAGACGAUCGGCAGAUCGGUCUGGCGAAUACGUCCUCCCCGGCCGACAGACGGCUCCGAAUGCUGCGCAACACUGGCGCUGCGCCGCGAAAUGGAGGCGGCCCCGUGCGUCAGCACCGCCCCGCGCGCUCAUUGGCGGAGGCGGCGGCCACGCCCCUCCCCGGGGAAUCCAGGUGGCUGCAGUAAAGGCAAGAGAUUAUCCCAAGGGGUAUUUGAAAUGAAGAAUUCAUCUGGAAAUUGAAGAUACACCCACUAGUUUUCCAGUACAGACAGAGGCUGCAGCUCUGUGACCCUCUUUGCCAGAUUUGUGCACUGCUGGAUCAGCUGACUUUACACAAAAAGCCAGCAGGCUUACAGCUGCACCAGGCUGCCUCUUUUGAUGCAUUUUGAUAAUUACAGUAUGAUCCUUUUAAUAGCAUUUUCCUGACUUGUCACCUGAAGUCCCAUGCUGCCCUGAGUCCCAGCCUCUACCCCUUCCCUUUGGGACCAUCUUUGUUACACCCAGGGUCUGUUAUUAAUGACCUCUAUGGGAUGAAUUUCUCUUUUUCAUGCUUAGUCACUGACAUCUAUUUCCCUGGAACAAUACAGCACGUGAUGGUGCUGACAUCAUAGCUUUAUAUGACUGCCCCCAUAAUCACUCCUCAAACUGCAACAGCAUGCAGAGUUCCAAAAAUGGGAAAGUUAUUUCUGCUGCAUGCAGUGAUGAGAAAGGCUACCAUGUAGCAAGAGGUUUGGCAAGGGCACUGUCAGCAUCACUUGCUUCUUUCUUGGGUUCCAAAGAUGCACAUUUCUGUCUUGUGCCGAGGCAGCGUCUGUGAGAAAAGCCAGGAUGAUGCACAGAUGGGAAAAUCUGCAGUACAGGGAGGACUUUAAGCAAGAAAAGACCAUGUUGGUGAUUAUCCCUGUGGAUCAUAACCUUCGCCUGCUGAGGAAGAUACAUUCAGAUGUGCCAUCUAACAUUUAAGAGUGCUAAUUUCAUAGCAAGUUACAGCGCUUUAACAGGUGCCAUGGGAACAGGCAGUUCUGUUCCUGUCAACACCAGGACUCUCCUGUCUGCAGAGUGAGUGGUACACAAAGAUAAACCAGCAAAAGGUAGUGCUGGAAAAGGCAGCAAACAGACUUCUGAAGGUUUAACUCCAUGAAAACCAGCUUGUAGUGAGAGAAAAACAAAACUGAAAAUAACUUCAGUUUCUCCAAAACUGAAUAGAGAAGGGAGGAAAGGGCAGGAGUGCCCCUUUAAGGAAGAGCUGCUCAAUUUAGCAGUGCAAAGCUGCAGUUUAAAAAGCCUUGUUCUUGUAACUGCCAAGCAGAAAUCUCCCUACAUCAAAACACUGGAUGAGAAGCAUCAAAACUCAGGAGAAGAUUCAGAAGACAACAAUCCCUCUUUAGGACGUUCCUGUGUUACCUAAGUCUGUUACCAGCAAAAAGGUGACACACUCUUCUACUCUCAUGGAUUUCUCACGUGAGGGUCAUGAGCAAGCACGUGUUUCCUACCCAGUUUCUCCAAGUUUUCUGUAAACAGGCAGUAUUAUUCCUCCCUCUGGCUUGAGGUUGUCUGAAGACCACCUAGGCCUUGUUAAUAUUAUUGCUGCUGGCUAGCCCAGUAGUGUCCACAUUCCUACAUUCCUGCAGUUCUGGUUGUUGAGAGCCAUGCAAACAGGCUAAAAUCCUUGCAGUUUAUUAAUCAAGAGAAUUAAGUAAAUACAGUUACUAUUUGGAAGUGAGAAGGUCGUGAGGCAGCAGAAGAUGAAAGUUGAAACAAAGUCUCAGCCAGAUACCAUUAAUAUCUGCUUGUAGAAAACAGUUGAUAAGGAAAAAUUCUUUG